GAUGAACGCUGGCGGCGUGCCUAAUACAUGCAAGUCGAGCGAACAGACGAGGAGCUUGCUCCUCUGACGUUAGCGGCGGACGGGUGAGUAACACGUGGAUAACCUACCUAUAAGACUGGGAUAACUUCGGGAAACCGGAGCUAAUACCGGAUAACAUGUUGAACCGCAUGGUUCAACAGUGAAAGACGGUCUUGCUGUCACUUAUAGAUGGAUCCGCGCCGCAUUAGCUAGUUGGUAAGGUAACGGCUUACCAAGGCAACGAUGCGUAGCCGACCUGAGAGGGUGAUCGGCCACACUGGAACUGAGACACGGUCCAGACUCCUACGGGAGGCAGCAGUAGGGAAUCUUCCGCAAUGGGCGAAAGCCUGACGGAGCAACGCCGCGUGAGUGAAGAAGGUCUUCGGAUCGUAAAACUCUGUUAUUGGGGAAGAACAGAUGUGUAAGUAACUAUGCACGUCUUGACGGUACCUAAUCAGAAAGCCACGGCUAACUACGUG
rnacentral:rRNA from 1 species